CCCGCCGCCCCGUCUUCUCUUCGUCCCGCCUCGCCCCUCUCUCUCCCUCCAAACCCUACCCCGCGCACGCCUCCCUACCCCGCCGCCAUCUCCUUCGCCGCCGGGAGCUCACCCGGGAUGACUGCUGCGGGGUUCCUGGUGGGCUUCCUCCUCAGCCUGCUCGCGCUCACGGAGGUCGAGGCGGCCGCGCUGCUCUGGUUCGUGCUCCGCCUCCGCCGCUGGCGCGGCUCCGGUGGACUCGGACGGCUCCUCUCCGUCUCCUCCCUCACCCCCACGUGUGGUUCCGCUUCCCGCUGGCCACGAGGUGCAGCCUUGCAGGGGCGCAUCGGGCUGGGCCUCUGUUUCCGAUAUGGUGCAGCAGCUGCUGUGGGGUUGAGGUGUUCUGGCAACGGUAGGAGCUCCGGGCCCGUCCAGGUCUGUCCAGUGCUCCAUCUAUGCUGAUUUUCAGAAACUGUUGCCCAGAGAGAUCUCCAUGAAGCAUUGCACCUGAUGCAGAUGUCAAAGUAUUCAAUCUACUAUGAUGACCACCAGCGGUGUAGUCUUGGUACAUAUACUGCAUCCCGAGAGAUAAAGCAGCAAGGACUAGCAGCAUGGAUGUGAAAUAUGGUCAUGCUCUUAACCUGAUCUCCAGAAAGAUUUCUAUAUCUCCUGAAGCAAGAAGAGUAUUUUGAUGGAGCACAAUUGAUGUAGGUAAGCUUACUUGUGUAAUUCAAAAACCUGAAACUUCUUAACAGUAACUCAAUUAUUACAUAACUCGAUUUUCUUAAUCUCCAACCGUGUUCCGUUUUUGACACUGGUGUUCCAUUUUUCUUAUUCAUGCUUGCAAUAUUUUUAGCUUUUUAUGAUUUUGUAUAGCCAAUGUGCAUACUGUCUAGUGUAGGCAUCUACUACCUUUGCAGUUGCCUCCUCAUUUUCCUUUUAUUACUACAUGCGAUUUUUAUUAGCUGAUCUGUGGCUUGAUUUUCAUUUGUAGAUUCAAACCACUCUCCUGUGAGGAUUUGUUCUGCUAUACAUUUUCCUUUCAUUUCCCAUCCAGGUUGUGUUCAAAUGAUAGGUGGCAUUGCAAAUUAUGACCAAUUUAAAUGUUGUUUAGUGAGCCUCCAUCCGCCAAUUGGAAAUAAACUGAGGGACCUGAAGUUUCAUCUAUUAGGAGAAGCCGGUGCUUGUGCGGGUUGCCGGAUUAAUCAAGAUGGAAGCUGAUGCAAUUAGAGUCCCAUCGGUACCAUUGCAUGUGACCAUGAUGCAGACAUUCACUCUAGGAUUUGAGAUUUUCUUUUCUCAUCCCCUACGAUAGAUUAUAGCUCAAGGAGUGAAUUCAUCCACGUCUACAUAUUUUCAUCUUUUGUUGUGUUUUGGCAUAACCAUUAUCUGAUUUGAGUUUUUGUAAGCGUGUUGAAGUCUUAUUGAUUGUGUUCCUGCAAAUAAACAUGAUCACCAAAUGGGCGUCUUCUGAAAAUUAAGAGAAUUAACUAAUUGUAUAUGCUA